GCAGCACAGUAAGAGCUUGCUCUUAUGGGUGGCGAGUGGCGGACGGGUGAGGAAUACAUCGGAAUCUACUCUUUCGUGGGGGAUAACGUAGGGAAACUUACGCUAAUACCGCAUACGACCUACGGGUGAAAGCGGAGGACCUUCGGGCUUCGCGCGGUUGAAUGAGCCGAUGUCGGAUUAGCUAGUUGGCGGGGUAAAGGCCCACCAAGGCGACGAUCCGUAGCUGGUCUGAGAGGAUGAUCAGCCACACUGGAACUGAGACACGGUCCAGACUCCUACGGGAGGCAGCAGUGGGGAAUAUUGGACAAUGGGCGCAAGCCUGAUCCAGCCAUGCCGCGUGGGUGAAGAAGGCCUUCGGGUUGUAAAGCCCUUUUGUUGGGAAAGAAAAGCAGUCGGUUAAUACCCGAUUGUUCUGACGGUACCCAAAGAAUAAGCACCGGCUAACUUCGUGCCAGCAGCCGCGGUAAUACGAAGGGUGCAAGCGUUACUCGGAAUUACUGGGCGUAAAGCGUGCGUAGGUGGUGGUUUAAGUCUGUUGUGAAAGCCCUGGGCUCAACCUGGGAAUUGCAGUGGAUACUGGAUCACUAGAGUGUGGUAGAGGGUAGCGGAAUUCCCGGUGUAGCAGUGAAAUGCGUAGAGAUCGGGAGGAACAUCCGUGGCGAAGGCGGCUACCUGGACCAACACUGACACUGAGGCACGAAAGCGUGGGGAGCAAACAGGAUUAGAUACCCUGGUAGUCCACGCCCUAAACGAUGCGAACUGGAUGUUGGGUGCAAUUUGGCACGCAGUAUCGAAGCUAACGCGUUAAGUUCGCCGCCUGGGGAGUACGGUCGCAAGACUGAAACUCAAAGGAAUUGACGGGGGCCCGCACAAGCGGUGGAGUAUGUGGUUUAAUUCGAUGCAACGCGAAGAACCUUACCUGGUCUUGACAUCCACGGAACUUUCCAGAGAUGGAUUGGUGCCUUCGGGAACCGUGAGACAGGUGCUGCAUGGCUGUCGUCAGCUCGUGUCCUGAGAUGUUUGGGUUAAUUCCCGCAACGAAGG
rnacentral:rRNA from 1 species